rnacentral:tRNA from 1 species
GCAUUGGUGGUUUAGUGGUAGAAUUCUUGACUUUCAUGUGGGAGACCUGGGUUUGAUUCCCAGCCAAUGCA